rnacentral:piRNA from 1 species
UUUCAUUUUUCUGAAACUACG